UUUGUCAGAGAGUGCAGUGACAGGAGAAGGAGUAAUAGUUUUGAACUAAAAAAAGGUUAGAUUUAGAUUAUAUAUAAGGAAGAAAUUCUUUACUCGGAGGGUGGUGAGCCACUGGCACAGGCUUCCCAGAGAAGCUGUGAAUGCCCUAUCCCUGGAGGUGUUCAAGGCCAGGUUAGGUGUGGAUUUGAGCAAU